AUGGAACCUGGAACCAAAAUAAGCCAAGGAAACAAAACAAGAGUCCACAUAAGUCCACGAACGGGGAAGACACGAAGAUCAGGGAUUCCUUCACGGAGGGUGAAGGCGCGGCGAGAUCCUGCUCAGCCGCCGCUGAGCCAGGGUGGCCCUCUUAGUGCCCUUGAGCUGGGCCGAUGUCCCCGGGGACCACCCCGCAUGGCAACGUCCUCCAGGUGGACGCUGGUCCAAGAGACUGAGGAGUCGAGGCGGGCGUCGCAGCGCCAUCCAGGUAGCAGGAGGCGCCGAGGGCGAGGCCACCAGUCCGGCAGCCGAGACAGGGACGAGGCAGGAACCAGCGGCGCCCUCCUUGGACCACCGCGACGAGACACGGGAACCAGCGGCGUCCUCCUUGGACCACCGCAACGAGACACGGGAACCAGCGGCGUCCUCCUUGGACCACCGCGACGAGACACGGGAACCAGCGGCGUCCUCCUUGGACCACCGCGACGAGAAACAGAUGCAGGUGCGGCCGGGGCCGGGCCGCCAGGAACCGAUGCAGGUGCGGCCGGAGCCAGGCCGCCAGGAACCGAUGCAGGUGCGGCCGGAGCCGGACCGCCAGGAACCGAUGCAGGUGCGGCCGGAGCCGGGCCGCCAGGAGCCGAUGCAGGUGCGGCCGGAGCCGGGCCGCCAGGAACAGAUGCAGGUGCGACCGGAGCCGGGCCGCCAGGAACCGAUGCAGGUGCGGCCGGGGCCGGGCCGCCAGGAACCGAUGCAGGUGCGGCCGGAGCUGCGACGGGAACGACCCCCUCCUGGGGGUCGACAGGAACUACGACGGGCGCGACCCCCUCCUGGAGGUCCGCCGGGACUGCGACGGGCGCGACCCCCUCCUGGAGGUCCGCCGGGACUGCGACGGGCGCGACCCCCUCCUGGAGGUCCGCCGGGACUGCGACGGGCGCGACCCCCUCCUGGAGGUCCGCCGGGACUGCGGCUGGCGCGACCCCCUCCUGGAGGUCCGCCGGAACUGCGGCUGGCGCGACCCCCUCCUGGAGGUGCGCAGGAACUGCAGCUGGCGCGACCUCCUCCUGGAGGUGCGCAGGAACUGCAGCUGGCGCGAGUGAACUCCCGCAGAAACCGGGAGUGCUACCAAAAUAAAACCGGAAAUGGAACCUGGAACCAAAAUAAGCCAAGGAAACAACAAGAAACAAACCCCAGAUCGUGACAAUUUAUUAGGGUCUGAUAAAUGAUCACACAGAAUCACAACGGUAGCGUUACUGGAACGAACCCACCUUAAUUCCAGCUGCAUCGUAACAUAGCAUGGCAUUGCUAAUAGCCUGUCGGCUAACAUGCUACAUUAACUAUGAUAGAAACACCCGUUUCGCGCAACUGCAUCACCUCCGCAAAUCACGAGAGUAACGUCACACUUCAUACACAUGAAUAUGAGCCGUCAUGUCGGUCUGUUCAUUAAAUAUAAUUAAAAUCAUCAGUCAGUGGACUAGCUUGUUGCUGCUUGUGGAGCUUUCAGGACCUGCUGUGCCGCGUCAAAGGACACUUCUUGUCCAUUAGCCAAUUAGAGCGUGGAGGCAAAUUAAGGUCACGUUAUUUUACGUGGAAAUUUAUCCACGAUUUGUGCGUAAUUUUAACGCCCCAAAUUAUAAGUAUAAGCAUGGUAUAGCCCCACUAAGUCUACAAGUACAAAUCCGUUUACGCACGUACAAAUGUAAUGUAACCCUAAUUUGACUUCACAUUUACCAGUCGAUGCACGCUCCUGUACGGCAGCCGAUUUCUGGCAGACAGUCAGAGCAUUUAAGCAUUAGUUAAUGCUGCAGGUUGGUUCCUUUUAGUUGCGUUGGCUCAGUGUUUUAGCCCCAGCAGGUCCAAAAUAGGUCCUCGUGUGAGGUGAGGUGAAGCUGAAAAGUUGGAGUUUAAAAAGUUAACCUACCUGAGCAUCCACUGCUCUCACCUACAGCUGCUCCAGGUUCAGGAUGACGUCACUCAAGUUGAUCCAGGACUACGCAGCCAAUCUGGUGUCUGUGCGUUGCGCGUUGAGACAGCGAACCUGAGAGGACACUAACGAACAGACCAUAACAUGUGGAGCAGAGAGUCGAUGCCGUCCGGGUCUGCAGCCUACAUAGGACUUCCUGUGGAUGAUCCAUAUGUCGGUGCGCUGGUCAACCACCCCAGGCUGAAUGGAGGCAGAGCCCCGCAUCCGUACGCGCUGGACCUGACGAGACGCGCACGACCUCGGCCGAUGACUCCGCCUCC